CACUUCCCUGAGAUCCCCAGCACAGCCGACCCUUGGUUACCAUGGUGGUAACUUGUUUUGACCCUGAAUUGGCUUCCCUCUCUUCCCUGUCUCGCUUCUCCACUCCCUACUGAUGCCUCCUGGAAUCGCCUCUCAGAUAAACUACCUGCACCCAAAUCCUUGUUGCAAGGUCAGCUUCUGGGGAAAUCCAACCGAGAGAAAUAUACUGUUGCCGAAAAAAAAAAAAAAAUCAGUCUGCCUUGGACAGCUGGAGAUCCUAUCAUGUUAAAACGGCUCCCUCCCUUCCACCUGGAUUGCUCACACUUACCAAAGGCCGUUGGAGACAUCUUAGCCAAGAAACCCAUAACUGUCGGGGAACUGUGGGCUGGAUUGACCUUUUCCCACAGGGAGAGGCCAACUCUCCCCGGCGGUGUGUGACACUUGGGAGUGUGCCGCUCAUAAACUCAGCCACAGGCAUGCGAGUGCGCGUGCGUGAUGAGAGCCACGCCCAUUCUUCCCGGAGAGCCACGCCCAUUCUUCCCGGAGCCUGCGCUCCUUCUACUUCACCAGACAUCGAGCUGCCAAGCUUUACAGCUCCCAACACCUAGAUACCUGUAUUUUUCCAAAGCCUUGGUUUGGGAGUCAUUUCCUGAUGCUUUACAGCUCCUUUGGACUGAGUAUGCUUCCGACGUCAGGGAGCAAGAUGGCAUUGAUCCUUCUGUCUUCUGUUCCCGCUUAAGACCUAAAAUGGGAGAUUUCGCUCUGUAAAAAUUCAUCUAUUGAUAUUUAAGAAAAUGCUUACCAGGCGCCUCGAAUGGAACAGUUCUGUACAAGGUAGACCUACCAUGGUGAACAAAGGAAACAGUCCCCACCGUCUUUGUUCUGGAAGCUCAGUAAAGGAGCAUGGAAGGCAUGAAAGGAAGUCCAUCACAGAUGUUCCUAGGUGGGCUGCUUUCCUGGGAGUACUCCUCCCACCUAGGUUAGACCCAGGAACCUUCCACUGUUGGCUCCAUCUUCCCCUGGAGCCCCAGGGGACCAUCUGUCCCCACCAGCUGACCGGAAAAGACUGGGAGCAAGGGAAGGACCUCACCAGUUACUCGAGGGGCCAUACCUGGGAGCCAAGUGGGCCACCUCCCCCACAUUGUACUGACCAGAACUAGUUCCACGACCCUUCAUCAGUGCAAAGGAGCAAGCACAAAGCUCUUUUUGGGACUUCGGAAGACAAUAAAAGGCUGGUCAGCACUGGAA